GAUGCUGAUUAAAACUGACAUUCAUGAUUAGUAUGAUGAUUUUCCCUUCUCUUCUUGGAUUUGAAGAACAAACAGGCCCCAUAAAGACAGAAUUGCUGAACACCAUUGUAAACAGGCAACUGAAUAAAGAAAAGGCUGCACCGGCUCCCACCACCGCCACCGCUCAGGAGAAGGGGCAUCCAUCCCUCUGACUAAAUCAGGAUCCAGGCCUAGAGGUUCUAGCAGUAGCCCAGUGGUUGGCAAUACAAAUACCCAUAGGAGUAAGGCAGGCUGGCUAUAGGGGAAAAAAAAAAGUCUCUUGAUGGUCUAGCUUGCAUUAUCUUACAUCUUAAUAAUGUCACCUGGAAUGGUCCGGAAUCAUCUGUCCUUAGCCUUCCGGCUUUCCCCAGAUGCAGGCUGUGACCAGGGAGUGGAGAGACCUCCCCUUCUCUGUGGCUGCUGACCCAAGGCCCAGUGGAAAGUUGUCUAAGCAGCUGGCUGGGCAUCCUGAAUGAGACAGUUGUUCAUUUGACCAACUCAUUCCCCACCACCCACCACUCUCCCAGUUUGUGGCACUUUGUUACAGCAGCUCUCAGAAACUAAUAUACAACUCUAGGCAUUUAAAAAAUAUUUUUACAGAUGAGAAAACUGAAGUUCAAGUGCAUUGACUAACUUGCCCAAGAUCACGCAGCAAGUGAGUAGUGGAGUUGGGGAUGGAAGCCAAGUUUGUCUGACUCAAGAACCUCCAUGCUCUACCACUAAGACCACAGCCUCUCCCUAGGACAGUCUCAGCCAUGCUAAUUGCCUUCCAUGUACCAUUACCCUCAUCAGCUCCUUCUGCCCACCCAAGCCUCCCUUCCUUAUGCCCACCUCCCACUGGAAGACUCGCUGUUGAUUCUCACCCAUGUGGCCUCUCCCUUCUCUGAGCCUCAUGCUUCCAUGGCUAUGAAGCACAUUUCUUCAUGCCUUUCUCUGCAGCCCACUUCUUCAGUUCAGAUUAAGCCCAGCCUCCACUGCCAGACUGAAAGCUCUUUCUGGCCAGGACCAGGCCAGAUCUUCUGCAGCUCUUGUCAGAACUAAGGACAGGGAGUUCAUCUCUCACCCAGUAUUUUCUCACCUGCCCUUAGACAACCUGCUCCAAAGACAGGACGCUGAUUCUGGCAGCAAGAUGCCAUUCUGAUUCGCCCCAGAUCUGAGAGGUCCACAGAUCCUCACAAGGAUCAAAACACUUCCCGGAUGUUUUUGGCAACACUGGGCAUCAGUUACCUUUAACUUACUCUAAAUUCAAUGUUCGGCCUCUCAUGGAAAAACAUCUGUCCAUCCAGGAUGUGAUAAAACAAGUUAUUUCACCUCCAAUGGAAAGGUACCCAGAAAGCAAGUCAGUUGCGAA
rnacentral:lncRNA from 1 species